rnacentral:rRNA from 1 species
UUGCCUCUUGGUCUGGGACAACUGUUGGAAACGACAGCUAAUACCGGAUAUUAUGAGAUUCUCGCAUGGGAAACUUAUGAAAGCUAUAUGCGCCAAGAGAGAGCCUUGCGUUCCAUUAACUAGUUGGUGGGGUAACGGCCCACCAAGGCGACCAUGGAUAGCCGGCCUGAAAGGGUGAACGGCCACAAGGGGACUGAGACACGGCCCUUACUCCUACGGGAGGCAGCAGUGGGGAAUAUUGGACAAUGGGCCACAAGCCUGAUCCAGCAAUUCUGUGUGCACGAUGAAGGUCUUCGGAUUGUAAAGUGCUUUCA